CAGAGCGCGGUGUCCGCGGGGCCGCCGCCGGCGCCGCGCAGGGUCGGAGGCAACCGCCUGCCCCGACCCUCCUCCGCCCGCUUCGGCCUUAUAUUUAAUACAUGCCCUUUCAUCUAUUAUUCAGGCUGCUCUGACUCCAGCUCUGUCUCGCCUCCCAUUUACGCCUGCACACCUUUCUCCUUCCCCUUCCCGAAGGGUCAGCCGAGACACUCGCCGAGGGAGGGAGAGAGCUGCUCUGCUGGUUUGGGUCUUGUCUGCUUAAACAUUGAACUGGAAAAGAUUCCUCCUCUCUGUGGUUUGAUAAAUAAUAAAAGUGAUCGUUUCGCCUUCCCCAUAAAUGACACAGAUGGAGGGGCACUGUGAGACUGACUGCUCCCUGUGCAGAGCUCAAGAGGCAGCAUACACAACAGAGGGUUUCUCCUUCUUGCUCUGUUCAACUCCUGCACCAGUCUGGACUGGGGAAUUCUGUGCUCAGUUCCUACCUUUUGGAUCAUAACUCUGUCUUCUUUAUUUCACCAUUAAAAUGACUAUAAUGUAUCCGCCUUGUGGCUUAUCUGACCUGGCGUUCUCCUUCUAGUGUCCCCUGUGGACACUUAAAAAGAACCAUUAUGAAAUAAGAUUAUCACUAUGGAAAAUUUUACUCCUGGUCUCAUUUAGUUAGCGUUGAUAUAACUUUUGAUAAACUCGAACAAAAUAGAGUCUUGCAUCAUCUUUUUCAUAUUGUAUGCAGUUCCAGUGUUCCUAAGGUGCUCCCAAACUCAGAAUCAUAGUACAAUAUUAUAUCUCCUUUAGUCUAUAUGUUCAAGGUCUUGAUAAAGUCUUUUCUUUCUGUCUGUUGUCAAUGCAUUAGGCCAUAUACUGUGGGUAGCUUUUUGCAAACAUAGUUGGGUUCACCAGAGUUUAAAAAUAAAUUCUUAGAUGACUUGGCCGGGGAAAGAUUU
rnacentral:lncRNA from 1 species